rnacentral:piRNA from 1 species
UNGGCUAACUAAUGGUGUGAUACUUUGC